rnacentral:rRNA from 1 species
UACGUAGGGGGCGAGCGUUGUCCGGAAUCAUUGGGCGUAAAGCGCGUGUAGGCGGCCCGGUAAGUCCGCUGUGAAAGUCCAGGGCUCAACCCUGGGAUGCCGGUGGAUACUGUCGGGCUCGAGUCCGGAAGAGGCGAGUGGAAUUCCUGGUGUAGCGGUGAAAUGCGCAGAUAUCAGGAAGAACACCCGUGGCGAAGGCGGCUCUCUGGGACGGUACUGACGGCUGAGACGCGAAAGCGUGGGGAGCGAACAGG